AAAGAUUAAGCCAUGCAUGUCUAAGUAUAAGCAAUUAUACCGCGAAACUGCGAAUGGCUCAUUAUAUAAGUUAUCGUUUAUUUGAUAGUACCUUACUACUUGGAUAACCGUGGUAAUUCUAGAGCUAAUACAUGCUAAAAAUCCCGACUUCGGAAGGGAUGUAUUUAUUAGAUUAAAAACCAAUGCCCUUCGGGGCUCACUGGUGAUUCAUGAUAACUCCUCGAAUCGCGUGGCCUUGCGCCGGCGAUGGUUCAUUCAAAUUUCUUCCCUAUCAACUUUCGAUGUUUGGGUAUUGGCCAAACAUGGUUG
rnacentral:rRNA from 1 species